rnacentral:rRNA from 1 species
AGAUUGAACGCUGGCGGCAUGCUUUACACAUGCAAGUCGAGCGGCAGCGCGAGGGCAACCUUGGCGGCGAGCGGCGAACGGGUGAGUAAUAGAUAGGAACGUAUCCGGGAGUGGGGGAUAACUAGCCGAAAGGUUAGCUAAUACCGCAUAUUCUCCAAGGAGGAAAGCGGGGGACUUCUAAACCGAGCACAUGCGGAGGUGUGUUGGGUUUAGGAGCCUCGCGCUCGCGGAGUGGCCUAUCUCCGAUUAGCUAGUUGGUGAGGUAAAGCUCACCAAGGCGACGAUCGGUAGCUGGUCUGAGAGGAUGAUCAGCCACACU